rnacentral:rRNA from 1 species
CGGUCCAGACUCCUACGGGAGGCAGCAGUGGGGAAUAUUGCACAAUGGGCGCAAGCCUGAUGCAGCCAUGCCGGGUGUAUGAAGAAGGCCUUCGGGUUGUAAAGUACUUUCAGCGAGGAGGAAGGUGUUGUGGUUAAUAACCUCAACGAUUGACGUUACUCGCAGAAGAAGCACCGGCUACCUUCAUCCAGCAGCCGCGGUAA